AACGAACGCUGGCGGCAUGCCUAACACAUGCAAGUCGAACAAGACCUUCGGGUCUAGUGGCGCACGGGUGCGUAACGCAUGGGAACCUGCCCUUAGGUUCGGAAUAACUCCCCGAAAGGGGUGCUAAUACCGGAUAAUGUCUUCGGACCAAAGAUUUAUCGCCUUUGGAUGGGCCCGCGUUGGAUUAGCUAGUUGGUAGGGUAAAAGCCUACCAAGGCGACGAUCCAUAGCUGGUCUGAGAGGAUGAUCAGCCACACUGGGACUGAGACACGGCCCAGACUCCUACGGGAGGCAGCAGUGGGGAAUAUUGGACAAUGGGCGAAAGCCUGAUCCAGCAAUGCCGCGUGAGUGAUGAAGGCCUUAGGGUUGUAAAGCUCUUUUACCCGGGAUGAUAAUGACAGUACCGGGAGAAUAAGCUCCGGCUAACUCCGUG
rnacentral:rRNA from 1 species